rnacentral:rRNA from 1 species
GAUGAACGCUGGCGGCGUGCCUAAUACAUGCAAGUCGAGCGAACAGACGAGGAGCUUGCUCCUCUGACGUUAGCGGCGGACGGGUGAGUAACACGUGGAUAACCUACCUAUAAGACUGGGAUAACUUCGGGAAACCGGAGCUAAUACCGGAUAAUAUAUUGAACCGCAUGGUUCAAUAGUGAAAGACGGUUUUGCUGUCACUUAUAGAUGGAUCCGCGCCGCAUUAGCUAGUUGGUAAGGUAACGGCUUACCAAGGCAACGAUGCGUAGCCGACCUGAGAGGGUGAUCGGCCACACUGGAACUGAGACACGGUCCAGACUCCUACGGGAGGCAGCAGUAGGGAAUCUUCCGCAAUGGGCGAAAGCCUGACGGAGCAACGCCGCGUGCGGGAUGAAGGUCUUCGGAUCGUAAAACUCUGUUAUUAGGGAAGAACAAAUGUGUAAGUAACUAUGCACGUCUUGACGGUACCUAAUCAGAAAGCCACGGCUAACUACGUG